AGCAGAGGGGCUGAACACGGCCACCCUCCCUCUUCUCCAGCUGUAGAUGUCACCUUAAAAAGAAGAUUUGAGGUAGCUGGAAGAUGGGAAGGAGGGAAGGGCGGGUGGUCAGGGACGAGAAGGCCAUCACACAUCAGCCUGCGGGGGUGGCAGCUUGAUUACAGCGAUGAUGGCCCCUCACUGACUGGGAGAGGACACUGCAAUGUGACACCCUGGGUUUCAAUCCUGGCUCCACAGAACAACUGCAUGACCUUAGACAAGAAACUUGAUCUCUCAGGGCCCCCGCUUCCCACUGUGAAAAUGGGGUAAUAAUGGCACCUAUACUUUUUGGCACUGCUGUCUCAGAGGAGUUUAUGCUCCGAUUUCUUCAUAGGGAGCACUGGGUAAGAAACAGAAGCUCCUGUCGUAAACGGAGGUUUUCUAAAAGACGCUCAGAAGCUGCCUGCUGGCUCCGUCUCAUAACCCGAAGUGGCGGUGGGGGUGGGUGGAGCAGGCCACUGCUGAGCCAGGGUAAUUCAAAUACCAUGAAGCUCUAUUAUCAAGAUUCUGGUGAGUUUUUGUUUUGUGUUUUUUCCUUGAUUAAAUAUUCUCCUGGUUGCUGUAAACUUCUAGUUAGUUUCCCAAUUUCCAGUAAAGUUGAUUCUGACCACCUUUGCCAGUUUAUUUUCUCCUUUUGUGGAGGGAUGGCUUUUGUAAUUCCCUAUUCUGCCAAUUUCAUUUUUAGGGUGCUGACUGUUGAGAUGCAAUACAUACUUCAAAACAGCAGGCAUUCUACGGAGCUGGGGCCCAUCAGAUAGACUACAUGGGAAACAAGCAGUGGAAACAGAAGUGGCCCCGUCACCAUCAUGCCCAGUGGCUCACCUCAAGAAUGCUUUAACUUUAGCCUCCACUGGACCAGUAAUGCUGGUCCCUUAGCAUGCCUGUGGGUCGAGGGGGAGGAGACACUUAUCCUAGGGAUGCCUAAAGCUGUAGCAGCUCCUUGUUGUUUUAGGUUCUUCGUGCCAACAGAGCAGCAGGCAAAGAAAGGAAUGCUUACACUUGUAGGAAUAUCAGGUUCUGCCUAUCAUGAGGAAGUAGCACUGCUGCUAGAUAACACAGUCAGAGAAGAGGAUGCCCAGAGCCCAGGGGAUUCAGUGGGGCUCAUCUUGGUGUUUCCCAGCCCAGUGACAACAAUUACAGGCAACCGCAGCAAUGACAGUCUGCCCAGUGCACAGCGACCAGGGAUUCAAACCUCUAGGGGUGAAGACCCAGUUACCCCAGCAGACCAGCAAGUUCAGUAUGCAGGAGUGGCCAAGUAUGAGGGCUAUCCAGAAUGAGUGGUGACACAUAGAGACAAUGAACACCAAUUAUGACCUUAGAGUCCAUGGCAAUGAUGGGGUCUAUAGCUUGCUUCACGAACUCUCUUUCUUAAAUUCUUUGUAGAAAUCGUGACAGGCAACAUCCUAAAAGAAGCAGUAGCAGGAGGGAGUGGACUUAAUAUGGGAAAGCAGUAUCCCCAGGUCUCAGCAUUCCCACGUGGGCUAGCCUGACUUCCAUCUGCCAACACAUGCAUCUCUUUGCCAAGGGCUUCCUCUGGCUGCUGGAGCCUGCUCUAACCACAGGCAUGGCAGCCUAGAGGUGCCAGAGUACCAUUGCCACAUCCCCAACUGCAGUCCUCAACCAGCCCAACCUCAGAUAAAAUGUCACGGAGGAUAUCAGGGUAUCACUGUGUCCGCCACUGGCUUCAUGUGCUCACAGGGGCAGCUCGUAUGUUAACAAUUGCUUCCUUGGUUUCCCUACAGUACUGUUUGG
rnacentral:lncRNA from 1 species